rnacentral:rRNA from 1 species
GAUGAACGCUAGCUACAGGCUUAACACAUGCAAGUCGAGGGACCGGCGCACGGGUGAGUAACACGUAUCCAACCUGCCCGUUACUCGGGGAUAGCCUUUCGAAAGAAAGAUUAAUACCCGAUAUAAAGGAUGGGGAUGCGUUCCAUUAGGUUGUUGGUGAGGGAACGGCUCACCAAGCCUUCGAUGGAUAGGGGGUGGGAGGGGAAGCUCCCCGACAUUGGAGACACGGCCCGGUCCCAAAUCCGAGGGAAGGCGGCAGUAAGGAAUAUUGGGGAAUUGACGCUGGCCUGAACCAGCCAAGUAGCGUGAAGAAUGAUUGCUUAUGAGUCGUAUACUUCUUUUAUAUAAGAAUCUGUAUUAUAUGAAUAAGGAUCGGCUAACUCCGUGCCAGCAGCCGCGGUAAUAC